ensembl:lncRNA
UCCAAACAACAUGGAGAAAAACGUUGUGUACUGCCUGCUGUGCAACGAGCCCCAGCUCUCCAUUUCGACUCACCUGAGCAGAGUGUGCCUGAAAGACGGCACAGCACAGGAGAGGGAGCAAGAAGCUUCCAGAGCUACUGCCUCCCAGGAGCUGUUUUCCAAGGAAGGCCGACUAUGGAGCAUCUCGGAGCUGCAGGAGUUUUGCAAGGAUGCAACAUCUUGCAUCAAACUCUGCAGUCGCCUUCAGAGUCGUGGCUUUAUCUUCACAGACGCUCCCCAAACCUGGCCAACAGUGCUGCCAACACAGAGGUCUGAUAAGAAGGAAGUCCUCAUCGUGGCCAAAAAGGACAUCGAGUAUUUCCACCAAAAGCUUGCAGGCGGUGAUUGCAUCCCCAACGUUGCCAUGACAACGUUCAGGCAGUACUGCGAGGCCAUCCUGAUGUUACAGCACGGACUGACAUCAAGUGCUGUUCAGGAUUUUUCUGUGCAGGACUGGAUGGAGCGAAGGGAAAGCUUGAGGAUGACCAUCCAGGAAGAAGAACUGUUGGAGUGCUACUUUAAGAACAUCCGCCCAGUGUCCUUACGAAACCAAAGAGCUGGCAGUGAUGAUGGGGACAGGUUCUUCCUGGGAGAAGGUGGGGUCCCUCUGACCAACCCAGCAUUAGAUGUAGGGCGCCUGAGGGCCAGAUACCUGGGCAGCGACACUGAGGAUCCUGCAGCUGGGUCAGCGUCACACUCAGCAGGAGGAGCAGAAACCUCGGGACAGGCCAGGUCCAUUUCCACAAAGCGCCUACCACUCAGAGAAUGGGAUGCCUUCCAGCGGACCUUCCCAGUAACACUAAAUGGAGAGCCACCUUCAAAACGCCGGUGUGUACAGGCUGGUUUUCCACACUACCGAGCCCACUACCACAAGUGGAGGGAGCUUCAGCUUAAGCAGAGAGUUCAGCACAUCCUCGGGUGUGUCACAAGAGGCAACGCCCCUCAGCGUGCAAGAGUACAGAUGGCAUUAGAUAAGGAGACCUGGUUCACCAACAAGCCCACUGUUGAUGCCGUCCUACAGGCCUGGGUUGCUCCACAGCCCAGGAUCCAGGACAGCCAGUCCCUCAUGUCCUCAAUUUCAGAGCAGAAAUGGAAGGGCCUGGCUUUGAAGGACUUUGGGGAGGAAAAGGGCAAAGGUGUGAUCGCCCUGAUGCCCUUCAACAAAGGAGACGUCGUCUGCGACUACCACGGGACGUGCAUCACCAAAGCUUCAGGGAAUCGGAGGCGGCAGUCGGGGUCUCUCUUCUUCUACAGGGACGAGUGCCACAGGGCUGAUGCCACUGCGUCCCCCUGUGCCUGCCACCUGCACAAGGACUCCUAUGGAAGGCACAUCAACCAUUGCCAAAGGAAUCCAAACGUGAGGCCACAAAGGUUCACAAUGAACUUCCCUGCUGGUCCUCGGGAGAGUGUGCUGUUCAUCGCCCUGAGGGACAUCGCGGUUGGAGAGGAACUCCUGUGGGACUAUGGAGUCUAGAGAUGGCACCGUGUUUUAUGUCCUAUCAUACAUUUGGAUAUCGGCCCAUACCGACAUGACUCUAAUAUAGUGUAUUUCAUAUAAACAUGGGCCAUAAAAACUAAAAAACACCAUCAAUGGCCAGUCCAGCUGUGGCUCCAUAUAUCUUUCUCAGAGGUGAAAUGCAGGUUAACUCGGUCCAUCCCUGAUGGAGUCACCCAUAAAUCCUUCGACUGGACAUUUGACUUGAGUUGUCUUUGUUUUUUGUUUUGUCUGACCUUUUCUGAUUAAAAACAUGUAAAAAUGUGAUCUCUCAUGCAGCAUUUAAACAUGAUGCUUAUGUCCCUGAUAACUAAACCACUGUUGUUGUUUUUUACCAAUAAUAAAAACUAUUAUUAACACAAUCAGAAAUAAAUCUCCCUCCCAGGCCUUUAUAUACCAAACCCUGUGGUGACAGCUGCAGUGGACACUUCAGGGCUCAAAUUUUCUCUGAUUGGCUCCAACCUUGACAGGCUCAGCCUGCUGCUGCCAACAACACUCACUAAGUUUCCCCACCGAGCACCUCAGGCCUCUGCAGUUACUGAUGAUCAUCAACCCAAGUUGGAGAUUUCCAAUCAGAACACCCAAACACUUCAUUUUAACCUGAACUCUUUACUUUCAGCCCAACACUAAUGUGGCCCUAAGCUUAACUUCAGGUUCACACCACUGUGUAAACCCAGCUCCACUUGAACCCUCAAACACCAAACUAAUGUUUUUAUGGUCAUUUUCAUAAAAAUAUUGGAGACCACAUUUAACGUAAUUAACAAAAACAUCCAUGCCACAUCAUUAAAAACAGGCUUUGUUACAGGAAUUAUUUCAGAUUUGACAAACUGAGGCUCUCCACCCACUGAGGGACAGGCAGUGAGUACUGUGAAACCUGGUGAACCUCCUACAGAACACUCAUCAUUUAGAGUCUGACGGGGGUUGACACUAAAAUACUUUAAAUGUUUAGCAUCAAGAUUAGACCCUUGGAUCGCACAUUUGAUUUGCUUUGUAGGGUUCUAAUAUAAUUAAUGAGAGAUUUGAUGCUAACGAUGCAGCUUUAUUAUCACUGGACGCUCGUCAGGCCUUGGACAGAAUAGACUGGUCAGAUUUAUUUAACGUUCUCCCCAGAUAUGGAUUUGAUGAAGGCUUGUUGUACCUGCCGUAUGAAAGAGGGGGUUACAAUUCCUUAAUCUUAAAUUGCAUUACUGGUCUGCACAGAUGCGCUCAUCCAUGCUCUAUUUUUCCACAUAGACACCCCCAGCCUGGAUAAAAACUGAACAAAAAACUGUGACAAACCUUCAAUUAAAUCUGUAUUUAUACUCUGCAACCCCCCAAAAAUGUUUUUUUAAAACGUUUCCACUUGACAGAAAUGUGUUUUUGUUUGAGAUUUCCGAGGAUCGCACAGUGUCAUCCUCAUGAAAAGGAAACACCUUGUGGCGUCAGGUGAGCUGCAAAAGGUGCU